UUUUCAAGCACAACAAAUAUCACCUUCCAAUAAAUUACUAAAGCAGAAUAAGAAAACAUAGAGAAUAAGUGCCAAAUUCAGCUUCGACAUAAAUAGAAAACAGAAAAGGAAGUGCCAACCACACCAACUUCAGCAACUCUCGGUUCUAGAAACAAAUUCCCCCAGCCUAACAACUUUUACCGGCCUACUAAAAUUCAAGAAAUCAUAGGCUAAAAGAGAUGCUACAUGCUGAUGCAAAUAACUACAGAAGUACACACCAGUAAUCUUUGAUUAUUUAAGAAGCAUCAGCAAAGUCAAUAAGUGCGAGUUCUGCACUUUCCAACUCUACCUGUCACCUAGCGAAGAUGCUAUUCCCUCCCCCUCCUUAUUUUUCUGAUUUAAUCCAUUAAAAAAUCCAUAUCUCCUGUCAAGAAUCUGGGCAGUGGGCAUCACAGAUUCACCGAAAUACUAGGGUUCACUUACGAGGUUGAGAG
rnacentral:lncRNA from 1 species